rnacentral:rRNA from 1 species
UACGUAAGCAGCGAGCGUUGUUCGGAGUUACUGGGCGUAAAGGGUGUGUAGGCGGUUGUUUAAGUUUGGUGUGAAAUCUCCCGGCUCAACUGGGAGGGUGCGCCGAAUACUGAAUGACUAGAGUGCAGGAGAGGAACGCGGAAUUCCAGGUGUAGCGGUGAAAUGCGUAGAUAUCUGGAGGAACACCGGUGGCGAAGGCGGCGUUCUGGACUGCAACUGACACUGAUAGACGAAAGCCAGGGGAGCAAAGCGGG